rnacentral:rRNA from 1 species
AACGAACGCUGGCGGCGUGGAUAAGACAUGCAAGUCGAACGGAGAAUAUGAAUAGCUUGCUAAUUGUAUUUUUAGUGGCGGACGGGUGCGUAACACGUGAGCAACUUACCCUGAAGUGGGGGAUAGCCUUCCGAAAGGAAGAUUAAUACCGCAUGUGAUCUCCGGAUCAAAGGUGGCUUCGGCUGCCGCUUCAGGAUAGGCUCGCGGCCUAUCAGCUUGUUGGUGAGGUAACGGCUCACCAAGGCGACGACGGGUAGCUGGUUUGAGAGGACGAUCAGCCACACUGGAACUGAGACACGGUCCAGACACCUACGGGUGGCAGCAGUCGAGAAUCAUUCACAAUGGGGGAAACCCUGAUGGUGCAACGCCGCGUGGAGGAUGAAGGCCCUAGGGUCGUAAACUCCUGUCAUCGGAGAGUAAGCCUUGGUC